rnacentral:rRNA from 1 species
GUUUACGGCCAUGCCACCCUGAACAAGCCCAAUCCUGUCUGAUCUCAGAAGUUAAGCAGGCUCAGGUCUGGUUAGUACUUGGAUGGGAGACCACGUAGGAAGACCAGGUGCUGUAGGCA